GAUGAACGCUAGCUACAGGCUUAACACAUGCAAGUCGCGGGACCGGCGCACGGGGGAGGAACGCGUAACCAACCUGCCCUUCACCACGGGAUAACCCGGCGAAAGGCGGACUAAUACCGGAUGGUGAAGGAGGGGGAUGCGUGCGAUUAGCUUGACGGCGGGGUAACGGCCCACCGUGGCUACGAUCGGUAUGGGGUCUGAGAGGAAGGUCCCCCACACUGGAACUGAGACACGGUCCAGACUCCUACGGGAGGCAGCAGUGAGGAAUAUUGGUCAAUGGGCGUAAGCCUGAACCAGCCAAGUAGCGUGCAGGACGACGGCCUAUGGGUUGUAAACUGCUUUUAUGCGGGGAUAGGUACCGCAUGAAUAAGGACCGGCUAAUUCCGUGCCAGCAGCCGCGGUAAUUC
rnacentral:rRNA from 1 species